UACGUAGGGGGCAAGCGUUGUCCGGAAUUACUGGGCGUAAAGCGCGUGUAGGCGGCUUUGCAAGUCGGGUGUGAAAGCCCUCAGCUCAACUGAGGAAGUGCGCCCGAAACUGCAGAGCUUGAGUACCGGAGAGGGUGGCGGAAUUCCCCAAGUAGAGGUGAAAUUCGUAGAUAUGGGGAGGAACACCGGUGGCGAAGGCGGCCACCUGGACGGUCACUGACGCUGAGACGCGAAAGCGUGGGGAGCAAACAGG
rnacentral:rRNA from 1 species